rnacentral:rRNA from 1 species
UACGUAGGGUGCGAGCGUUGUCCGGAAUUAUUGGGCGUAAAGGGCUCGUAGGCGGUCUGUCACGUCGGGAGUGAAAACUCAGGGCUUAACCCUGAGCCUGCUUCCGAUAUGGGCUGACUAGAGGUAUGCAGGGGAGAACGGAAUUCCUGGUGUAGCGGUGAAAUGCGCAGAUAUCAGGAGGAACACCUGUGGUGUAGACGGCUCUCUGGACCGCAACUGACGCUGAGACACGAAAGCGCGGGUAGCAAACAGG